rnacentral:lncRNA from 1 species
GUUGGAACAAAAUGUGUUUCACAAUGAACCUUAAUGAGUUUUGAUGAUAACAAGGUAUUAAAAAUUGUCAAUUGGUUAUUACUAAUUAUUGUUCAAGUGUACAGGACCAAAGGCUAGUCAAGUAAUUUCAAUAGGUCUUGGAAGAAAAAUGGAAAGCAAAAGAAUUCUAAGCAUCUGAAGAAAACUGCGUCUGAAGCUAGAGUGCUCCUGAAGCUGAAGUGCUUCUGAAGUGAUGAC